rnacentral:rRNA from 1 species
AUUGAACGCUGGCGGCAGGCCUAACACAUGCAAGUCGAGCGGAUGACGGGAGCUUGCUCUUUGAUUCAGCGGCGGACGGGUGAGUAAUGCCUAGGAAUCUGCCUGGUAGUGGGGGACAACGUUUCGAAAGGAACGCUAAUACCGCAUACGUCCUGCGGGAGAAUGCAGGGGACCUUCGGGCCCUGCGCUAUCAGAUGAGCCUAGGUCGGAUUAGGUAGGUGGUGAGGUAAUGGGUCACCAAGGCGACGGUCCGUAACUGGUCUGAGAGGAUGAUCAGGCAGCCUGGAACUGAGACACGGUCCAGACUCCUACGGGAGGCAGCAGUGGGGAAUAUUGGACAAGGGGCGAAAGCCUGAUCCAGCCAUGCCGCGUGUGUGAAGAAGGUCUUCGGAUUGUAAAGCACUUUAAGUUGGGAGGAAGGGCAGUAAGCUAAUACCUUGCUGUUUUGACGUUACCGACAGAAUAAGCACCGGCUAACUCUGUGCCAGCCGCCGCGGUAAAAC